GAUGAACGCUGGCGGCGUGCCUAAUACAUGCAAGUCGAGCGAACGGACGAGAAGCUUGCUUCUCUGAUGUUAGCGGCGGACGGGUGAGUAACACGUGGAUAACCUACCUAUAAGACUGGGAUAACUUCGGGAAACCGGAGCUAAUACCGGAUGAUAUUUUGAACCGCAUGGUUCAAAAGUGAAAGACGGUCUUGCUGUCACUUAUAGAUGGAUCCGCGCUGCAUUAGCUAGUUGGUAAGGUAACGGCUUACCAAGGCAACGAUGCAUAGCCGACCUGAGAGGGUGAUCGGCCACACUGGAACUGAGACACGGUCCAGACUCCUACGGGAGGCAGCAGUAGGGAAUCUUCCGCAAUGGGCGAAAGCCUGACGGAGCAACGCCGCGUGAGUGAUGAAGGUCUUCGGAUCGUAAAACUCUGUUAUUAGGGAAGAACAUAUGUGUAAGUAACUGUGCACAUCUUGACGGUACCUAAUGAGAAAGCCACGGCUAACUACGUG
rnacentral:rRNA from 1 species